UAAGGAAUAUUGGACAAUGGAGGCAACUCUGAUCCAGCCAUGCCGCGUGAAGGAAUAACGCCCUAUGGGUUGUAAACUUCUUUUAGACGGGACAAAACCCCUUUACGUGUAAAGGGUUGAUGGUACUGUCAGAAUAAGCAUCGGCUAACUUCGUGCCAGCAGCCGCGGUAAUACGAAGGAUGCAAGCGUUAUCCGGAAUUAUUGGGUUUAAAGGGUGCGUAGGCGGACUAAUAAGUCAGUGGUGAAAGCCUGCAGCGUAACUGCAGAAUUGCCAUUGAGACUGUUAGUCUUGAGUACAGUUGAGGUAGGCGGAAUGUGUCAUGUAGCGGUGAAAUGCUUAGAUAUGACACAGAACACCGAUUGCGAAGGCAGCUUGCUAAGCUGUAACUGACGCUGAGGCACGAAAGCGUGGGGAGCAAACA
rnacentral:rRNA from 1 species